CCUGUGUUUGAACUCUCAGUCUGUUUUUACUCCUUCUAUGUUCUAUAACAUUUCAGUUUGACAGGGGUAGAGAAUAACUCUAUUUUUAUACAGAUUCUCACAUCUAUAUAAUAAUUAUUAAGAUAAGAAAAUCUGUAUCAAUGUCUCUUAUUAUAUAGAUAUAAUUUGCUGUAGUAUUUUUUUUUCCUGGAAUUGGUGAUAAAAUAAGGGAUGGAUGUUCAAAUGAAAAGAAAACAAAUCUCAGAAAUGGGUUAAAGUCGAAAGUCAUGGGCAUUGAUUGCUGAAUGUGCAGGUAAUGCAUUAUUUUCAUGUUUAAUAAUAAGACUUAAAGAAAUAUUUUGAAUAGCAAUAAUUAAAAUGAUUCAAUAUAAAUUCACAACGCCCUAUACUAAAUUAGUUGGAUUCAUUUUGGAGUAAUUAUGUGAACCCACAACAAUGCCGAUUAAUCAUAAUUUUUCAAUGCAUGUUUGAGUAAAGUCAUAUUUAAUUAACAUUUUAAAACUAUAUUUUUGAAAGACAAUGAAGACGUAUUCAUUAAGAAAAACUACUAUAAUUUACAUAAUGUUUUUUGAAUCUGUAAUAUUUGUGAACUAUUUAAAACAACCAUGUCCCUGUAAAAAUAUCUGUAAAACUGUUUAGCAAAGUUUAAACUUUGUUGUUCCUAAAUUUACUGUGACUGAAAAUGACAUUUUGUUUUCAAAGUAAAUAUGAAUUAUUAUAGUUUGUGAUGUAAUCGCCUGACACUGCAGAUAAAUACAGAAGAGGUGCUCUGUGAAAGGGCAGUAGGUUUUUGUUGUGGUGUAGAUCACUGUGUAUCCGGGGGUGGCACUGUGGUUAAACGCUGUACAAAAACCUCAUCUCUCAGAAAGUGUGUUAUUUAUGUUAAACUAAAGAUGAAGAAUCUGCACAAACAGCACGGUUUUGUGUUCCUGUGUGUUGUACAUCAUACAGGUGAAUUACACAGCGAAUAUCUUCAUUUAUCAGCUAAAUUAACAAUAUCUGGAAUACAAUUGUACUGGAUACAUGCACUGAUACUCAACAAGACACAAUGUGAUAUUCAUGACUGUGUUAGUUAUUCCUCUGCUCCAGUUUGAUUAUUGACAGAAACCAUGAUGAACGAUAAUGUAUUUUAGGGGUUUAACAAAAUUUGGAGUGCUACAGAUUUUUCAAAAUGUACAUUUGAAGCCUUCCUGAGAAAGGACAGGUUUUUGUGCAGUCAGUUCCAUGAAAUACACCACUGUGAUGCACUUUACUACUGGGGUAAAGGCACUCAUGUCACUGUUACCCAAGAAGAACCGAAGGCACCAACCUCCCUCUUCCCUCUAAUGACAUGCCUGCAAGGCCCCACGGAUCAGCUGACCCUGGCCUGCAUUGCCGGCGGAUUUUUGCCUUCUUCCUCCGUGACCUUCCAGUGGAAGGACACCAGUGGAAUGCCCGUGUCUGACUUCACUCAGUACCCAGCAGUGCAGAUCAGUGGGUCUGGAUCCUACACAAGUGUCAGUCAUCUCAGUGUAAAUGCGGCACAUUGGGAUUCUAAGAAGUCCUACAGUUGUUCCGUGACCCAUUUGUCACAGGCCGGGGUAAAGGACGCCAGUUUCCAGAAACCAGUGCCCAAGUCACCAACGGUGAGCCUGCUGCUGGUACCCAGCGGCGACAGUCCCCCAGACGCCCUUAUCUGUGUCAUACGGGACUUCUACCCCAGGAGCCUGAGGGUGACCUGGAGAGUAAAUGGUAAAACCCUGACCGGAUCAUCCAACACCUGGCAAUCAGAGAAGCAAGCCUCAGGACUGUACUCAGCCAGCAGCACUGUGAAUGUGGACCGCACCAAAUGGGACAGGAAUGAAGAGUAUACGUGUGAAGUACUGCACCAGCAGAAAACCAUCGAGCAGAAAACUUCCAGAGUCCAGUCUACAGAAAAACCCUGUCUGGAGGUGACCCUGAAGCCCCCAAAGAUGAGCGAAUUGUUUGUAAAUAACCUGGUUGUGCUGGACUGCGUUAUCACUGGGGGAGAGGAGGCAGCAGUGGAGGGAGCCAGAGUUACCUGGACACCGAGUGGAAAGAGCAAAGAGAGUCAGACCACUCCGCACGGACAUGUGUUCAGGAAGACCAGCACUCUGACUCUGGAACAGGAACACUGGUCCACCAAUCAAAAGGUUGAGUGCUCUGUCCAACAGAGCAAUAAGCCAACCAUCAAAAAAUCCUUCAGCAACAGCGGGUCAAAAGUUCCCGAGGUGGUUUUAAUCACACCCAUAAAACAGGACAGCGAGUUUGUCACCCUGGUCUGUGUAGUGACGGGCUUCUCUCCCUGGGACGUGUUUGUCAUGUGGACAGUGGAUGAUGGAUCCUAUAAAGAGGGCAUCACCAGUGAGCCUGUGGAGCGCGACAAUGGCAUCUUCUCUGUCACAAGUUUGUUUAAAGUCUCGACAGCGGAUUGGAAUUCCCGGUACAAAGUCACCUGCAAUGUGAAGCACAUUUCUAUGCGCAAGGAUGCAGCCCCUAUCACAAAAUCUGUGUCCAUAACAAGUGAAACAGUAUCAGCUCUGAAUUGUAAUGAGGAAGGCGAGGAAGAAGAUGAGCUUGGCAGUCUGUGGUCCACCACCUCCUCCUUCAUCACCCUCUUCCUCUGCACUCUCAUCUACAGCACCCUCCUCACUUUGAUCAAGAUGAAGAAGUGAUGUGCUACACAUGGGAGAUGGGGUGAAAGCUUAUUUUUUGAAUGUAUUCAUAGUUACAUGUCAAAAGUGUGUCGUAUAGAAGAUUGUGUCAUGUUUUCUUGAGCUGAAUCUCUGUUUUUUCCAUUACUCCACUGUGCCUAUGUUUAGAUUUCUUUCAUUACCUAAUGAGUGAAAAUGUCUAUGAAUCCUGUUUAUACCAAUGUUUUCUGUGGACAUCAGACCCACAAUGCAGCACAUAAUUGGCUGCAGUUUAGUCCUAGGAGGAAAGGUUUUAGUUGGCAGUCCUGUACUCGACCCACUAUGCAAAAAAGAAGCACAGCUCUGGUGGAUCCCGCCUGCAAAUUUCUCCGCUACACCCAUGACUGGAACUCCAGCGCUGCUACCGUUGGAGCCGGCCUGUGUCCACUGCACAUGAAGUGCACUCUUCUGUCCCACUGAGAGCUGAGCUGCUCUGGGGCCGCAGAGUGAAAGAGGUCAGCAGAGCCGCUCUGGGGCCACAGAGUGAAAGAGCUCAGCAGAGCUGCCCUGGGGCCACAGAGUGAAAGAGCUCAGCAGAACCGCUCUGGGGGUACAGAGUGAAAGAGCUCAGCAGAGCCGCUCUGGGGGUACAGAGUGAAAGAGCUCAGCAGAG